UGCCAGAACACAACUCUAGGUAGCACUGGGGCCACAUGAAACAGGAUCAAGGAAAUAGGAGACAGAGAACAAAGCAAUUUAAGAUAAAUAUCAUUCUGCUUAGAUUUUAGUCCCACUCCCUAAUGAGUUUACAUAAAUUUAAACAUGUUUGUAAAUGGUCAGAAGUUAUGCGUAUGGUUUAAUAUAGAGAUAAUAGGAAGAGAUGUGAGCAUACAUAAAUUUGCUCUCUAAAUUAACCAUUAAUAAGUAUUAUAGGGCUUUGUGCUAAUGAUGUAUCCUCUUUAAAUUUCACCAUUUUUUUCUGAGGUAAAGACAAACUGUCUGCUUGGUAGCUCAUGGAGUGGUUGUAGUCAACAUAUUAGAAAUAUCAGGUAAUGUACUGCCUGUACAUUAGCACGUUGUAAAAAUGUAAGAGAAUGAUUACUUUCCCAUUGCUCUUUACCAGAAUUAUAUUCCUUAUGUAAUGCCAUUACUUUAUUGAAUAUUUUCUUACUAGAAGCUGUCAUAUAUAAUUAUAUUUAGGCUUUUGGGUUUUUAUUUUAAAUCUUUAUUUAGAGAUUAUAGAGUGCUUCAAAAUCCAUAGAAAUGACUAUUUUAACUUCAACAUUGAAAGUAACAUUCUUUCUACAAUAUUGCAUUAUCCAGCAGAAAUUAGUUUUUCCUGUGGGUAGGUAUUAAAGUAACUCACUCAUAUUUUGUUUAAAUAUCUUUAAACUUAUUUAUUGAGGUAUCUAUCAUACUUUAAAGCAUGUAAAAUUUAAGUUAGUAUAAUUUUUCCAUAUAUAUUCAGUUAUAUUACCCUCAUUUGGAUCAAGAUUUUGAACUGAAGGGACAGAGGGUCAUUUCCGUCCUCUCCCAGUCUGUAUCCUCAUAUAUAAACAGCAAUCAGAAAGAAUAUGUUUUAAAAUAUCAAAUUCUUUUGUGAUUAAAAAUAUAGAUGUAUUUACAUACAUCAGAUACUCUGAUUUAAAAAAUGCAUGUGCUAUAAAUGUCCACCUACAAAACCAUUCAGCAAGGAUUUUUAAUCAGUACUGUUUUAGAUACAAUCUGGGAUUUUUUUUAAGUAUAAAUCAAUGUUCUUCCCUCUCUCUCUUCCACUCUGUCUCUCUUUCUCCCAUCUCUAUCUAUCCAGUUAAAAAGAAAACAUUUAGCAAGCCUAGAGUGUACAAGGAGUAACAAGAUUAACAAACAUGAAACCAGAAACAAUAAUGCAUUUUUAUAUUAUUCAUCCAUUGGGUAAACAAAUACAUAUUAUUGCCAGUGUUUAAAUGCUAUUUUUUUUAACCAACAGUAGGUACCGGUUCGGAGGGGAUAAAAAUGAAUAAACUUUGAGGAAGAGGAGACUAUCAAUCAUCCAUGGAAGAAUGAGUAUUGCAUUGAGAUUUGAUAGUUUAUACAAUGUAGGAAGCAGAGAAUAGAGCAUUUAAGCGUAACAAAAAAAUAAAAUAAAUAAAAAAGUAGUAUGAGUUUGUGGAACAGCAUGAAAUAGUAUAUGAAAGAUAACAAAUGUAAAUCUGACUCGGCAGAAGCAAAAGAAAUAUCCUGAGAACUCAUGAAAAUUAAUGCUAUAUAAGCAGAAACAGCUUAAAGAAGACGUUGCAAGUAAGGCAGGGACAUUGAGUAAUGAAGAACUGAGAGAUACUGUAGCAUUUUGAGAUGAGAAGUAAUGUUAUCAGAGCAGCAUUUAAAGAAGCUGGAUAUGCAAUCCCACUUUGAGAUGAAUGUGCUGGCAGUAGAAUUUAGAGGAAGACACAGGAGAAAAAUCUGCACUAUGAUGUGGAGAUAGACACAAACUACAUCGUGAAGAAGGCUGAAUCAAAGGUUGUAACAAAACGCAUUCUGUCUGAUCGCCACUUGCAGAGUCCAGUGACAACAUUGAGGUACGGUAGAAAGAAAUUUAUUAACCAAAACUAGUAAUGGGGAAGUGGCCAGAUUCCCACCCAAAGUGGCCACUUUGAAUUUCUAGAGAAAAGGCACAGGCUUAAAAAGGGGGGACUUGAUAUGGAAGGCAUGCAGCAGUUGUGUAAAAAAGGGGAACUUGACAUAGGAGGCAUAUCAAGUUGUGCUGAUUCUGAGGUCUGUAUGUCUUGUUUCAGUGACUUAUCUUGUGUCUCACUCCACCUGAAGUUCAGGCUGGCAUCACGUCGACAAUGGCCAAGUUGUUGACUAGCUGUCUUGAGGUAAGCGCUGGAAUUUUACAGCUGGGUCUGUAAAAUUCAGGCUUGGUCUCUCUGUCUCACGGUUAACUCCUGGAACUUCUAAGUAAGCACAUAAUUAGGUACUAUCAUGCAGAUAGAUAAAUGUGAAGGGAGAAUAUGGUGAGAAAGGGAGGGACAUGAAGUGUAUUUCAAAGUUAAGGGAAAAAACUUCUGCAGUUUGCUUCAAGGUUAUGUCUUGAGACUAGGGAGAAAAGAGAAAAGGGGAAAAAUUAAAUGCAUUUUGAGGUCAAGUGACUCAAUUACAAGGUGAUGUCAAGAUUUUGCAUCUGGCUGGAAUAAGAGCUUCUCUCAAAAGAAAAUAGGGAAAAGAGUGCAUCUGCAUACAGAAAAGUCUGAGUUGUGUAGAUAUAAACUUGCUCGUCUACACACCCCUCCACAAUUUUGAUGUCAUGUGAUAGGGCCUCUGUGAGAAGAUAAGACUAGAGGUACAAAUUGGUAUGAUCAGAAGAUCACUUGCCACUCUGGAGGUUUUGGGUGAGACUGGGGUGAAGGGAGAGGCAUUAGAUCGAUGCAAAAGCAGAGAUGAGCACAACAGAUGGUGCUAAUCAAUUCUUCAUUUCAAAGGAACAGAUAGGAUUGAGAAACAGUAAGCUCACUUGGACAAAAGAAUUGUUUCAUAUUAAGCCCCUUCAUGCAGAACAGGCAUGCUCACAGACUACACUUGCAGUGUGCACAAGAUAGGUGCUUUCAAGUCAAAGUUGCUCUCAAAGCAGUGGGCCAUUCUGAUCUUAGACAGUUUGCUUCUUACAUUUCUUUAUUUUCCUUGCUAUGGGGAAGUGUCAAAGACUUGAGGCAUGUAACACAGCAAAGAUGGGAGAAAAAGUGCCCAAUGUGAUCAGUCUGUUUAUGGUUAAAUCAGAAUAAGAAAGAGGAAUGAGCAUAAAGAACCAACCCACACAACUCUGAAGAUACACCUGUAUUUAUUUAGUGAGUUUUCAUGAAAUUACAACAUAUGUCAUUAAUGUAUUAAUAUCUGCCUUAAAUUUGGACUUUUGCCAUUUGACACACAAAAAAUUUAACUUUAUUUACAACCUCACAAAAUUUUAACUUUAUCUACCACUUUCUUGCAUUGUGUACUAUUGCUGGCAUGUAUUUUUAUAUUUAAAUUAUUUUAUUGGAGUUUUACUCAAUAGUAAUUUAGAGGCAUUUACAUGCUUACUUUUUCCUCAUAUUCUUUAUUUCUCCCAGAUAUGUAUUUAAUCCAGCUUUUAUAGAUAAACUUUGUAGAAGGAUUAGUUUAAUUCCAGUCAUUAUGUCAUUGCCAGCAGGAGAACUCCUUUAGGGUUAUUGUUUUUAUGCAUAUUCUCUAAUAAAUCAAUUAAAUUCACUCUUGUGACUGGUUUGUGAAUAUUUUUAGUUAUGAGUGGGAGUCAAAUUUUAUCAAAUUUUGAUGCAUCUAUUAAAAUGCUCAAGGGGCAUUUUCCAAUUCUUAUUUUCUCAAGUGUAGACUUAGGCUUAUAGCUUCCCUAAUAUUAAACUACUCUUGCAUUUUCAGGAGGCAACUUAAUUAUCAUGUAUUAUCUUUUUCUGUAUCUGGCUGAUUUAAGAUUUUUUUUUAAUUUAAUUUAAUUUUUUUAAUUAAUUAAAAAAAAUUUCAUUUGUAUGCAUCAGUGAGAUCAAUUGGCAACUUUCCUUUUUGUUUCUGGUGUGGUUAUCAAGGUUGUAUUUGACACAGAAUGAAAUGGGAAAUGUUUCUUACAUUUUCAAUUAUGAUUAACUGUUUGCAUAAAAUUCACACAAUGUGUUCCUUAAAAGUUUGAGAAACUCGUUUUAUAAAUUAUCCCAAGUAUUUUCCCAUUGACACAUACUAUUUCAAUCCCAUUAUGGGCUUAUUAUCCCCUUGAUAUGGUUUGGCUGUGUCCCCACCCAAAUCUCAUCUUGAAUUCCCAUGCAUUGCGGGAAGGACACAGUAGGAGGUAAAUGAAUCAUGGGGGCCAGGCUUUCCCAUUCUGUUCUCAUGAUUGUGAAUAAGUCUCAUGAGACCUGAUGGUUUUUUUUUUUUUUUUUCACUUUUAUUUUUUUAUUUAUUUAUUUUUUUUUUAAAUUUUUUUUUUUUAUUAUACUCUAAGUUUUAGGGUACAUGUGCACAUU
rnacentral:lncRNA from 1 species